GCCAGGCAUUGUGGAGGGUGCCUGUAGUCCCAGCUAUUCGGGAGGCUGAGGCAGGAGAAUGGCGUGAACCCAGGAGGCUGGAGUGCACUGGCGCGAUUUUGGCUCACUGCGUGCAGUGCUCCAAGAUCGCGCCAGUGCACUCCAGCCUGGGCGACAGAGUGAGACUCCGUCUCAA
rnacentral:SRP_RNA from 2 species